rnacentral:rRNA from 1 species
CACGUAGUUAGCCGUGGCUUAUUCAAGGGGUACCGUCUUCUGCUCUUCCCCCUUAAAAGAAGUUUACAACCCGAAAGUCUUCUUCCUUCACGCGGCGUUGCUGGGUCAGACUUGCGUCCAUUGCCCAAUAUUCCCCACUGCUGCCUCCCGUAGGAGUCUGGGCCGUAUCUCAGUCCCAAUGUGGCCGGCCAACCUCUCAGUCCGGCUACUGAUCGUCGCCUUGGUGGGCCGUUACCCCACCAACUAGCUAAUCAGACGCGAGGCCAUCUUUCGGCGAUAAAUCUUUGACAUCAGAGCCAUGCGACCCCAAUGUAUCAUGCGGUAUUAGCAGUCGUUUCCAACUGUUGUCCCCCUCGAAAGGCAGGUUCCUCACGCGUUACUCACCAGUCCGCACUACGCAUUCCCUUCGUUGUCCGAAAACUCCUUCAGGGGUGCUCCGUUCGACUUGCAUGUGUUAAGCACGCCGCCAGCGUUCGUCCUGAGCCAGGGAUACAACUACU